rnacentral:rRNA from 1 species
GACGAACGCUGGCGGCGCGCCUAACACAUGCAAGUCGAGCGAUGAAAUUUUAACCGAUCUCUUCGGAGAGAAGAUAAAAUGGAUUAGCGGCGGACGGGUGAGUAACACGUGAGAAACCUGCCUUUCACAAGGGGAUAGCCUCGGGAAACCGGGAUUAAUACCCUAUGACACAUUUCCUUCGCAUGGAAGAAAUGUUAAAACUCCGGUGGUGAAAGAUGGUCUCGCGCCUGAUUAGCUAGUUGGUGGGGUAACGGCCCACCAAGGCCAUGAUCAGUAACCGGCCUGAGAGGGUGAACGGUCACAUUGGAACAGAGACACGGUCCAAACUCUUACGGGAGGGAGCAGUGGAGAAUAGUGCACAAUGGAGGAAACUCUGAUGCAGCGACGCCGCGUGAGCGAUGAAGGCUUUCGAGUCGUAAAGCUCUGUCCUAUGGGAAGAUAAUGACGGUACCAUAGGAGGAAGCCCCGGCUAAUUACGU